UGGAUUAUAUUUAACUAUAAUACUUGAUUUGCAAUCAAGAAGUGCUAAAUUAGCUAAUCUUA
rnacentral:tRNA from 1 species